rnacentral:rRNA from 1 species
GAUGAACGCUGGCGGCGUGCCUAAUACAUGCAAGUCGAGCGAACAGACGAGGAGCUUGCUCCUCUGACGUUAGCGGCGGACGGGUGAGUAACACGUGGAUAACCUACCUAUAAGACUGGGAUAACUUCGGGAAACCGGAGCUAAUACCGGAUAAUAUAUUGAACCGCAUGGUUCAAUAGUGAAAGACGGUUUUGCUGUCACUUAUAGAUGGAUCCGCGCCGCAUUAGCUAGUUGGUAAGGUAACAGCUUACCAAGGCAACGAUGCGUAGCCGACCUGAGAGGGUGAUCGGACACACUGGAACUGAGACACGGUCCAGACUCCUACGGGAGGCAGCAGUAGGGAAUCUUCCGCAAUGGGCGAAGGCCUGACGGAGCAACGCCGCGUGAGUGAUGAAGGUCUUCGGAUCGUAAAACUCUGUUAUUAGGGAAGAACAAAUGUGUAAGUAACUAUGCACGUCUUGACGGUACCUAAUCAGAAAGCCACGGCUAACUACGUG